AUUGAACGCUGGCGGCAUGCCUUACACAUGCAAGUCGAACGGUUACAGGGAGUUUGCUCCGCUGACGAGUGGCGAACGGGUGAGUAAUAUAUCGGAACGUGCCCUAGAGUGGGGGAUAACUAGUCGAAAGAUUAGCUAAUACCGCAUACGAUCUAAGGAUGAAAGUGGGGGAUCGCAAGACCUCAUGCUCGUGGAGCGGCCGAUAUCUGAUUAGCUAGUUGGUAGGGUAAAAGCCUACCAAGGCAUCGAUCAGUAGCUGGUCUGAGAGGACGACCCAGCCACACUGGGACUGAGACACGGCCCAGACUCCUACGGGAGGCAGCAGUGGGAAUUUGGACAAUGGGCGCAAGCCUGAUCCAGCAAUGCCGCGUGAGUGAAGAGGCCU
rnacentral:rRNA from 1 species